UAAAGGUGUCUGCAACAUUGGAUGAGGAGU
rnacentral:piRNA from 1 species